AGAGUUUGAUCAUGGCUCAGAUUGAACGCUGGCGGAAUGCUUUACACAUGCAAGUCGAGCGGCAGCGCGGGGCAACCUGGCGGCGAGCGGCGAACGGGCGAGUAAUGCAUCGGAACAUGUCCAUGUCGUGGGGGAUAGCCCGGCGAAAGCCGGAUUAAUACCGCAUACGCCCGAGAGGGGAAAGUGGGGGACCGCAAGGCCUCACGCGAUUGGGUUGGCCGAUGUCCGAUUAGCUAGUUGGCGGGGUAAGAGCCCACCAAGGCGAUGAUCGGUAGCUGGUCUGAGAGGAUGAUCAGCCACACUGGGACUGAGACACGGCCCAGACUCCUACGGGAGGCAGCAGUGGGGAAUUUUGGACAAUGGGGGCAACCCUGAUCCAGCCAUUCCGCGUGAGUGAAGAAGGCCUUCGGGUUGUAAAGCUCUUUUUGUCCGGAACGAAACGGUUAGCGUGAAUAUCGCUGACUACUGACGGUACCGGAAGAAUAAGCACCGGCUAACUACGUGCCAGCAGCCGCGGUA
rnacentral:rRNA from 1 species